AUGAGACACAGUUUCAACAGACAUUCUGGAACUGAGUUCUGUUUCCACCACUGUUCUAACGUUCCAUAUGAGACACAGUUUCAACAGANNNNNNNNNNUGUAUGGGGACGCGGACAGUUCCUAUACGGGGACGCGGACAGUUCUGUACGGGGACGCGGACAGUUCUGUACGGGGACGCGGACAGUUCUGUAUGGGGACGCGGACAGUUCCUAUACGGGGACGCGGACAGUUCUGUACGGGGACGCGGACAUGAUCAGUGCAACACAAUCAACUAAACCCAGUCUUUACAGUGGGUUACAUUGGUAAUAUUCAUUUUUUAUCAUUAUGUAAAACAAACAUUCUAUGUUUUUCUAUAACAAUAUUUUGAGAUCUGGGACCAUAUCCACAAAGUGUCUCAGAGUAGAAAAUUGGCCAUAUAAGUGCUGAGAAUAAAGACAUUUUACACUUAUGGGGUAUAAGUGGGUGGGUAACUAUGCAUGAAGUCUCUUGUCCCACCUAGUCGGCAGAUAUUUAGGACACCUCGUGAGCUGUCCUAAGUAGUUAAGAGUUAACAGCAGGUGUCCUAAGUAGUUAAGAGUUAACAGCAGCUGUCCUAAGUAGUUAAGAGUUAACAGCAGCUGUCCUAAGUAGUUAAGAGUUAACAGCAGCUGUCAUAAGUAGUUAAGAGUUAACAGCAGGUGUCUUGAUAAUACUAUAAAAUAAUGCAGAGUCAGUGGUUCCUGAGCCACAUGUAAUUGCUUUGUAGUAGUUAAAAUAAUGUUUUAUAUUUCUAUAUGAUCAAUCCAUUAAUAAUAUAGACCUACAUGCAACAGUAUGUCUUGUGCUUUUAGAAAUGAUUAUGUAUAAUAAUUAUGUAUAACAAGUGAUACCAUUUUGUCUUAAUUUUGGCAGAUUAACUCAUGCUUAUUUCUGAAGAUUAACUCAGGUUUUCGCCCAAAGGCUAAGGAGUUGGAGCUGUGGCAGGAAUUGGACUUGUGGUUGAAAGGUGGCUGGUUCGACACCCGGGCGGGAGCUGGAAAAACAGUUGGAAUUGAUCUGACCACUGGAGGGCUGCUGGGUUCACAUCCUCAACACAUUAACCUUUUGUUGAUCAGAACUCUAGAGGUUCUUCUUCACUGAACCCAAAAAUGUAUAUAAUGUUUUAGUGAUUCCAUAUAUUAAGGAAGUGAAGCCUUUUUGGUUCUAGAAGGAACCUUCUUUUCUGAGAGUGUAAAAUAAACACGUUUUUCUUUUGAUUAUUUAAUUCUCUACAUCGUGUUAUUUCACGUUCUCCCUUUGGAGGAAAAGCAACCAACAUCAUGUUGUUAAAUAAUAAGCCAUAAGCAACCAACAUCAUGUUGUUAAAUAAUAAGCCAUAAGCAACCAACAUCAUGUUGUUAAAUAAUAAGCCAUAAGCAACCAACAUCAUGUUGUUAAAUAAUAAGCCAUAAGCAACCAACAUCAUGUUGUUAAAUAAUAAACCAUAAGCAACCAUUUCUGAUUUAAAAAACUAAUGUGAACAUUUUUGGAAAUAGCAUUUUUGAAAGAAACUCAAAAUAAUUCCUAAACACAACUGUCAUCUCACCUCUUUGCUUUGGUGUCAGGUCCUCCCUCUCUCUCCCCAGAGAGUCUCAUUUUAGAGGCAGGGCCCCCCUCCUCUCUCUCCCCAGAGAGACUCAUUUUAGAGAACUGACCCCUAAACAGAGAUCCAACAUGUUGGUUGUGGUUAACACAGUGACAACUAAACAGAGAUCCAACAUGUUGGUUGUGGUUAACACAGUGACAACUAAACAGAGAUCCAACAUGUUGGUUGUGGUUAACACAGUGACAACUAAACAGAGAUCCAACAUGUUGGUUGUGGUUAACACAGUGACAACUAAACAGAGAUCCAACAUGUUGGUUGUGGUNNNNNNNNNNGAUAAUAAAGUGUUAUAUUGGUAUCUUCCACUAAAUGGCAGUAAACACCUGCUGUAACUAGACUACAACUAUGUGUUCUGUUUCAGCUCAGCCGCCUCCCCACCCUGAUAAUAAAGUGUUAUAUUGGUAUAUUCCACUAGAUGGCAGUAAACACCUGCUGUAACUAGACAUUACAACUAUGUGUUCUGUUUCAGCUCAGCCGCCUCCACACCCUGAUAA
rnacentral:lncRNA from 13 species